rnacentral:lncRNA from 1 species
AUGACAGCAGAUGAUGGUACCUUGGCUGACCUUUCAGCUUUUGGUUCUGUCAUGGAAAAUGUCAUUCCUGAAAACCAAGAGUCUGCUCAGCAACUUCAGCCCUCCACUGUUCCAUUUUUGCAAGCUCCGUCCUGCGUCUUGCAGCAAGUUCAUCCUAACGUGCCAAGACUAACUGUGCCUUGCACAUCAUCUGCUGGCCCUGAUGUGCAUCCUCCUGCAUCUCCUCUUCAUCCUCCUUCAUCUGCUGAACCUGCUCUGCAGCCGCCUUCCUGCUCCUUCCAGCAAGUUCACAACAUCCUUGGACCUGCUGCGCCACCUCCUGCAUCUCCUCUUCAUCCUCCUUCAUCUGCUGAACCUGCUGCGCCACCUCCUGCAUCUCGUCUGCAUCCUGCGUCAUCUGCUGAACCUGCUGCACCACCUCCUGCAUCUCCUCUUCAUCCUCCUUCAUCUGCUGAACCUGCUGCACCACCUCCUGCAUCUCCUCUUCAUCCUCCUUCAUCUGCUGAACCUGCUGCACCACCUCCUGCAUCUCCUCUUCAUCCUCCUUCAUCUGCUGAACCUGCUCUGCAGCCGCCUUCCU